CGGUGAAUAGCGCAGUUUGGUAGCGCAUCUGGUUUGGGACCAGAGGGGCGGGGGUUCGAAUCCCUCUUCACCGACCA
rnacentral:tRNA from 1 species